rnacentral:sRNA from 1 species
GUGUGGAAUUUUGUGGGGCAGGGUAAGUUCUCUGCACAAUAAGGAAGCGAGGUCUAUUCUCUGCGGGUGGUCUUCGUCAUCCAUUUUCACGUCGUUUCGCAUCUCCUACUUUUCUUGACAGUCAAUUCGCGUAGGCGGAGAGUUGUUGGGUACAUUGGCAUGAGUGAGGUACUGUACGUAGCUUUCAGUGGAGGUAAUGCUUUGGAAGAGAAAAAUGGUGAAGCACAGAGUUGGCAGAGGAAGUGUCUAAGGGAAGUAAGUAUUGUAUCUUAGAACGACCGUGAGGACGGCGCGGGGGAACCCAGCUGGUAAGUUCUAGAUAUUAGUACAGAUUCCUUUGGUUUUCUUUCUUUGUCAUUUUCUGUGUUUCGUCUCUUUCAAUUUCAAAAUACUAUCUUGCUGUAGCUCUACGGUAUUUUCUCUGUCAUGUCCUUUCUACGUUUGAUUCUCAACGCUGAGUUGUUGCCGGGAAAUAGUGGGAGAUAAUGACGGGGGAGAGUUUGUUUGACUGCAGUGUGUUCUGUGUGUGUGCGAUUGUUUUCUACAUCAUGUGUGCGUAUCGCUGUUAUAAGAAAUAACUCUUGCGAAGGUUUCUUCGUGGGAUUGGGAAAGGCAGCGGAUGAAGCACUUUGUAGUGGUAAACAACCUGUACGACAGCUUCGGCUCAUGUGGAGCAACGCUCGUAGUGAAGUAUAAUUCUUCUCCGUUUGAGAUGAUGGGAUAGAGUGGUGAAACAUUCGCGUGAUUGAUUUCGUUUCAUGUGUAUUGGUUUGCUUUAUUCCCCCUUGAUUUCGCCGGUUUAGCUCGUUUCAAGGUACGUGUUUCACGUGCUGGGUAUGGCGAGGCUUCGUUCAGUGCAAUGUAGGACUCUC